GCUAAUACCGAAUGGGGCGGCCGGGACGCAUGUCCCGGACGCCAAAGGCGGGGACCGCAAGGCCUGCCCCCCCGGGAGGAGCCCGUGUGCCAUCAGCUUGUUGGCGGGGUAACGGCCCACCAAGGCUUACGGCUAGCUGGUCUGAGAGGACGACCAGCCGCACUGGGACUGAGACACUGCCCAGACUCCUACGGGAGGCUGCAGUCGAGGAUCAUUCGCAAUGGGCGAAAGCCUGACGAUGCGACGCUGCGUGGAGGAUGAAGGCCCUCGGGUUGUAAACUCCUGUCAUGAGGGAAAAAGGGACCUGCGACAACAUCAACGGGACCGGAUGGUACCUCAAGAGGAAGCCACGGCUAACUCUGUGCCAGCAGCCCGCGGUAAUACAGAGGUGGCGAGCGUUGUUCGGAUUUACUGGGCGUAAAGGGCCCCUAAGCGGCCCCGUGUGUGGGGUGUGAAAUCU
rnacentral:rRNA from 1 species